UUGUCUGACAGACAGAAGUGGGACAGGCCCUUUCUGAAACACCAGCUUGGCUAAAAUCUAAAUACUCUGCUUUUCAAAUGACAGGAACAAGUAUGUCACACAAAACUACAUUAUUAAUCUGGAAAAGGAUAUAGGCAGUGAAACAAACUGCACCCUAAAACUGGAAAUGAUUUUUGGUGCUAGAGGGGAUACCAUCUAAAGUGUACCAUGAAUGCGACAUUCUGGGAAGAGACAGCAGAGGGUCACACAUGCUUUCUGUUGCAACUGUUUACCAAAAGAACUUAAAUUAUUUCCAAACUAGAAUUUUACAGCCAGGUGGACUCUUGGAAACAACAGAGGUAAAGUAUACUUCAAACUUCCAAUAUUACUUUAGAAAGGUUGUUUUUUUGUCUGCUGAAGGCCACCUUUUGCCUUUCUCAUAGAAAUAAUCCCAUUGAAGGCAGAUGGCAUUAAUGUGAGUAAGGAUUCACAUUUGGUUUUCACUUUGGCCGUAAUAUGGCCCUAAUCCUGCUCCCAUUGCAGUCAGUGGUAAUGAGCCAGUUUGUUGGUACAGGACAAGGCCAAGUGAGAGUCUGAUACACCCUCAGCUCCCACAUGUAUCCACUUUGCAGGAUCAGAAUUUAAAUAUUUUGAGUUAAUUCUGCACCUGAUCUUGAAGUCCUUCCAUGGCUAAAAUAUACACUGGAGUUGAUAAUACCUUUGCUUGAGAAAGGGCUUCAAGAACAGUUCCUGAUGUUUACCUUGAGGAAUCGCCAAUGCUUCCAGGUACAACCAAUAGUUCAUAAAGAGAUGGAGCACUGGAGAAAAAGGCAAUGCUUACUGAGCACAGGGCGCAUAAACACAUGUCACUAUGGCACCAUUGUUACUGCACUGUCAUUUAGUACUUCCUUUUGGAACUACUAAAAGCCGGCACAGUAACAGCCUGUACUGUGCCAUGUGCAUCGUGCACAGCUAUUUUUAGGCACUACGUCACCGUAGUGACACCCUAUAAUGAGGGAGCACAUCACAACAGCAACAUAGCUGCGGCAUCAUGGUUGUUGGCCAUGGAUGUUACAUUGCCACAGCACGUUGCUGCGGCCACUUAGUGUCACGUGUAGAUGCAACCAAAGUGUAUGAUUUAUUUUACAUAAGAAACACAAUGUUUCACAGAUAUCUCUAACCAAUACUGUGAGAGGAGCAUGUUGCUUAAGCACAAAAUAAAGAUAUAUAAUUUAUCUCUUUCAGAAAUUGUGUGUCAUCUAACUAUUACAUAAUGAAACUUUAAAACUUUAUGUGUUGAACAAGGUCUGCUUUUAUGAACAUUGCAUAAUCUAGUUGAUUUAAUUUGCCUCUGACAAGUAAGCAUUUUUUUAUUUUAUUUUGUAUAAUUAGUAUUCACUUCAGGUACUUCUAAUGAGAUGAAAAUUAAAGUUUCCACGUCUAAUACCUUGUUUUCAUGCUUGCCACGCUUCGGGAAUUUUAGUGAAUAAACAUUGUAUCAAUGGACUGCCAGAAAGUGCUUCCUUAAAGAGGGCCAUGAAAUUAGUUUAAAAAGCUACUGUACAGGCUCCAGUUGAAAUUUGAAAAUAGCAAUCAAAAAGUUUAGAUUAACAUUUAGUCUCAGAACCUUAUUUCAUUCUCCAGGAAAAAGCAAAAUACCCCUUAUAUUGUCAUCUCCUAUAGCAUGCACUUUCUUUUUAAAAUACUAAUUUUAAAUUAUAUGGGCAUAGUCCAUUUUCACUCAUAUUUAGUUUUGGCUACAAAGCAGGGGAAAUAAGUACCACUUUUAUUGAUAUAACCGUCAUACCAAAUCAAGAAAUCAUUGGAAUGUCUUGUGAGUAUUUCACGUAUAGUUUCAUAUAUGUAUUUAUAUGUAUAGUGCAUAGGCAUGUAUAAUGUUUAUGAAUACGCAUGUAUGUACCAAUAAAAAUGAAUUGUUUAAAUACACUAGAGGCAGAAAUAAUGAAGAACAUCCUCCCCACUCCCCAAUUUAUACCUUGGUCUCAGUGAAAUUAAAGGAAUUAUAUUUCCACAAUCUGUAAAACAACUUAAAUAUAUUUUUGUUUAACAGAAAUACCUAAAUAAAUGGUUUUAUCUGACAGUGAAUAAAUCUAAUGACAAAGACAACAGUGAGCAAUUCUCCAAAACUAAUUAUUGCACAUAAUGCAUAGAUUUAAGCUCACACACACUGGGCAUGAGCACAUCGGCCUUUUUCAGGAAAACUUCCUUUUAGAAUUAGGGAAGAUUUGCCACCCUCAAAUCUGAAAUAUUAGAAACACAUUAUUAAUGAUUACAUUUAAAAGUUUUCAAAAAUGCACAGGGUCAUAGUUAAAAGCACGAGGAAACACUCCCCCCACCUUACACCCCAAAAAACAUCCUGUCAAGGGCCUUAAUUGUGCUCCCACUGAAGUCAAGGAAAGUCUUUCUUGGAUUCAAAAGGAGUUGGAUCAGCCCCAGGAUUAUCUGAGAAACAAACCAUGCAAAUGAACGCUCAGUUCACAUGUAGCUAUUUAACAAAGAUCCCGAAGUGAAAAUAUAUGCUAUAAACUUCUGUUCUUCCAGUUCAGUGAAGGGAUGUAGCCAAAUAUUUUCCAUCCCAGACAGAGUGAAACAAUAAUGAAUAAUUUGAGUAGAAUAGUCAUAAUAUGAUUCAUAUGAUUGUUGAAGUAAAUAUAUUGAAAACAUCUCAUCUCUGAGAAAGGGUCUGUGCUCCCUCUCUAGUCUUUAAAGAUUUUUAAAUGUAUAAAUAAAGGAUGUGAAAUUGCAAA